GUUUCGAUUCUGGCUCAGGAUGAACGCUGGCGGCGUGCUUAACACAUGCAAGUCGAACGGGAUCCAUCAGGCUUUGCUUGGUGGUGAGAGUGGCGAACGGGUGAGUAAUGCGUGACCGACCUGCCCCAUACACCGGAAUAGCUCCUGGAAACGGGUGGUAAUGCCGGAUGCUCCGACUCCUCGCAUGGGGUGUCGGGAAAGAUUUCAUCGGUAUGGGAUGGGGUCGCGUCCUAUCAGGUAGUCGGCGGGGUAACGGCCCACCGAGCCUACGACGGGUAGCCGGCCUGAGAGGGCGACCGGCCACAUUGGGACUGAGAUACGGCCCAGACUCCUACGGGAGGCAGCAGUGGGGAAUAUUGCACAAUGGGCGCAAGCCUGAUGCAGCGACGCCGCGUGCGGGAUGACGGCCUUCGGGUUGUAAACCGCUUUUGAUCGGGAGCAAGCCUUCGGGUGAGUGUACCUUUCGAAUAAGCACCGGCUAACUACGUGCCAGCAGCCGCGGUAAUACGUAGGGUGCAAGCGUUAUCCGGAAUUAUUGGGCGUAAAGGGCUCGUAGGCGGUUCGUCGCGUCCGGUGUGAAAGUCCAUCGCUUAACGGUGGAUCUGCGCCGGGUACGGGCGGGCUGGAGUGCGGUAGGGGAGACUGGAAUUCCCGGUGUAACGGUGGAAUGUGUAGAUAUCGGGAAGAACACCAAUGGCGAAGGCAGGUCUCUGGGCCGUUACUGACGCUGAGGAGCGAAAGCGUGGGGAGCGAACAGGAUUAGAUACCCUGGUAGUCCACGCCGUAAACGGUGGAUGCUGGAUGUGGGGCCCGUUCCACGGGUUCCGUGUCGGAGCUAACGCGUUAAGCAUCCCGCCUGGGGAGUACGGCCGCAAGGCUAAAACUCAAAGAAAUUGACGGGGGCCCGCACAAGCGGCGGAGCAUGCGGAUUAAUUCGAUGCAACGCGAAGAACCUUACCUGGGCUUGACAUGUUCCCGACAGCCGUAGAGAUAUGGCCUCCCUUCGGGGCGGGUUCACAGGUGGUGCAUGGUCGUCGUCAGCUCGUGUCGUGAGAUGUUGGGUUAAGUCCCGCAACGAGCGCAACCCUCGCCCUGUGUUGCCAGCACGUCAUGGUGGGAACUCACGGGGGACCGCCGGGGUCAACUCGGAGGAAGGUGGGGAUGACGUCAGAUCAUCAUGCCCCUUACGUCCAGGGCUUCACGCAUGCUACAAUGGCCGGUACAACGGGAUGCGACACGGCGACGUGGAGCGGAUCCCUGAAAACCGGUCUCAGUUCGGAUUGGAGUCUGCAACCCGACUCCAUGAAGGCGGAGUCGCUAGUAAUCGCGGAUCAGCAACGCCGCGGUGAAUGCGUUCCCGGGCCUUGUACACACCGCCCGUCAAGUCAUGAAAGUGGGUAGCACCCGAAGCCGGUGGCCUAACCCUUUGUGGAUGGAGCCGUCUAAGGUGAGACUCGUGAUUGGGACUAAGUCGUAACAAGGUAGCCGUACCGGAAGGUGCGGCUGGAUCACC
rnacentral:rRNA from 1 species